CAAUUAACUCCUUUAGAUUUUCUUUUGAGAUCGGGCCGCAGCGCGAAGAUAUAUAAAAUGUACCUAAAUCCGCAAAUAGUUCACAUUUCCAGCUUUCAGUGAGUCCAGCACCCAUUUGUAGUCUAGUAUCCACAGGCCGCGUAUUAGUCCUCUUAAUAAAUUCAACGUCCUACGCGGCUCGUAACUCACCACGUGUGUGGUAUCGUCGUUAACGCAGUGAUUCAGUUGAAGACCACCAAGUUCAGCAAUUGCCUAUAUGUUGAACCAAGGUAUGAAUAUAAGCAAUUAAAUGAGGAAUUCCGAUUAAAUAACGCAAGUUUAUGCGUAUGUAUGUAUUUGAGAAUAAUUGAGAUAUUAAUUACUGUCAUAAAUUAGUUCUUAAGACUGUUACCGUAUAGUAAUUCAAAUUUAUAUACAUAUGUACAUAAAUAUGUAUGCAUGUACAUAUGUACGUAUAAUUGGAAUACUUACUAAUGCUAAAAAGCACGAAAGGAAGGAACAUAAUAAUACAUAAUUGAACCAUUUACCGAGUUCCCUUUGUACUGGUGAGUAUAUUCAUGGAUUUUCUUUUAUGAAGAGUUUAACAGUCUUUACUGCUCCAAACUCAGUUGAGUUGGUCAAUCUAAAAUUUUGAAUUAUUGUAAAUCCCUAAAAAAUAUUUAGGAAUGCUUCAGAGCUAACAGUCUUUGGUCACAUCAGAAUUCGUAGCAAUUUGUUCGAAUUUGCUGAAUAAAUUUAUGUUUUGAACAUUUUAAAUACGACCUUCCAAAUAGGUGUUCCAACAAAUGUUAUCUAAAUAGAAAUAUUUUCAACAAAAUAUUUCAAAGUCUGACGGGAGAUUGUAUAUGCUUACAUUGAUUGUAUGGUAUUGAAAUUGAAAAAUGUUUUGUUCUCAAAUCAACGUUGGACGAUAUAAAAGACAUGGGAGAAGAGCGGAACGCCGUAGCUUAAUCAUGGUUAUUCACUGAAUAAUGGUAUAGAAAAGGAAAUACCAACGUGGUAAUGAUCAUAAAUUAUGAUCAAUAGUUUCAAGGUAUGUCCCCUGGGCUCAACCGCACUCAUAAUAUAAAAACAAUUUUAGGAAAACACCAGUAAAUGAUAUAUGCAUAAAUUUUAGUAAAAAUGUACUCAAUUGUUUUGCUUUCGUUUGAAGGCAUAAUUAGUUCUAAAAAAAAUAAACUCUUAUAGUAAUUAAAAAAUAACCCUCAAAUCUGAGUGUAGUAUUGUAACAAGUAUAUUUCAAACUUGUACUUCACUUUUACAUAUUGAGGAGCCUUACUUUUAGAAGUAAAGAAAAGUAGUUUGUACAGAAAAUAUUUUGAGGAGAGUACAGUAUUUGAUGGAAAUGUAAAACAAAAUAUGCACACUAAAUACAACUUAAUAAAAUAAAGAUUUAUUAACGUAAAAACAAUCAAUAGAAAUUGAAAUGAUAAGAAGGAAAAGAAAAAAAGGUUUUAAAAGUAAAAUAAACUAAACUUUACUCGAAGGAAUUAUACGUGCAAAUUAAUUUUCAUUUGUAGGACGUCAAGAAAAAUUUCAAUAAAACUUGAGCCUUGUUUAUUUUCUGUCUAUCCAUCUAAAAUUAUUAGUGUCAUCUUACAAAUAUAUAAUUAAUACAAAAGUGUUAGAAUCAACUGUAAAUCCAGCAAAAUAUAUACAUAUAUAAAAAUAAUGAUAUAAAUAAAAAUAAAAUGGUUUUCUUGUA